rnacentral:lncRNA from 1 species
GUGCAGAUUUUCUUAUUGGCGUCGCGAUCCCUGAACGUCAUUUAAUAUCAACCUCGUCAGCGUCCAAUCAGAACCUUGCAGCAACACGCCCUAAUAGCAAUUGAUAAUAUAUUGCCUGCAGUGGAUGUAGGUUAAAAUUGUCAGCACACUAAAGUAUUUAUAUAUUUAUUUUUUUUUGUCAAGAUAUCUGAAGAAGAUGUCUAAUACCAAAUUAAGAUUUUUUUUUAAAAAUUGGCUUGUAAUAUAUAGCUUUCUCGCAACCUGCUUUCAGGCCCGUACUCUGGUCUGAGGCACAAUAGUUACAGUCUUGAGACUUGCUUGCACGUACGAACCUGCCAUGCCAGUUGACUCCAC